rnacentral:rRNA from 1 species
AUUGAACGCUGGCGGCAGGCCUAACACAUGCAAGUCGAGCGGAUGAAGGGAGCUUGCUCCUGGAUUCAGCGGCGGACGGGUGAGUAAUGCCUAGGAAUCUGCCUGGUAGUGGGGGAUAACGUCCGGAAACGGGCGCUAAUACCGCAUACGUCCUGAGGGAGAAAGUGAGGGAUCUUCGGACCUCACGCUAUCAGAUGAGCCUAGGUCGGAUUAGCUAGUUGGUGGGGUAAAGGCCUACCAAGGCGACGAUCCGUAACUGGUCUGAGAGGAUGAUCAGGCACACUGGAACUGAGACACGGUCCAGACUCCUACGGGAGGCAGCAGUGGGGAAUAUUGGACAAUGGGCGAAAGCCUGAUCCAGCCAUGCCGCGUGUGUGAAGAAGGUCUUCGGAUUGUAAAGCACUUUAAGUUGGGAGGAAGGGCAGUAAGUUAAUACCUUGCUGUUUUGACGUUACCAACAGAAUAAGCACCGGCUAACUUCGUG